GCGCCACUCUGGUUGGGAGACAGCAUCGGUGACAGCUCCGUUGUGGAGUUGUCUUUGGGACACAGGAAGAGAAAUCUUUGAGUAAUAUUUAAGCUGCGAUCUCCCACAUGAUGAGGGGGGAAGGCAAUCCCAGUCAAUGCAGCGCCAAAUGCAGAGGCUCUAAAGUGCCUUGUUAGAAAAGUAGCAAUGGCCCCACCUACAACGAAGGAACACGUGCUAUUUUAGAGGUCUAGGUGCAGAGUCAGGUUUGGUUUGUUUUUUGUUUGUUUUUCUCAGGGAAGGGAGGGUCCUUCCUGAGGGCACUGGGGAGCUAUGAAGAAUCGCGAGAAAGAGCAGGCCCAGAUGAGCUCUGCCACAGAGGCUGGUGUAGGUGUCCCCAUUCGGGGACGCAGCACCUAAGGAGGGCUGCGGUGGAGACUAGCUUGGUUAGCCCGUAGCACGCUCCCUACGACACCUGGGGCGACUGCCGGGUACCUGCAGCCUCGCCGGGGCCAGGAGGCGCGCGCGCGCGGAGCAUCAGGCCAGCCCUGCCUGCCAGAUUUCUCCGAGGCCCAAACCCGUUUCCUUCCUCGCGCUCAGUUUCUUCUCGCCCCGGCGGGGCCCGCCCCAGUCCGGGUUCCCUGAAAGCCCUGCGACGUCAGAGCCUUCUGUUUAUUUGUGUUUCUCAUUCCGAGGGCAAAGGACUCUGAGGCGGGACCCUGCGGUGACAGCAGCGACGACCCCGGGGUUCUGCGCCCCUGGGGACCUGACUCCACCCAGCAGGGCUAGGGGGUUGGGGGGUGGGGAGGACGCCGGUUCCCACGGCUGGCGGGGACUGCCGGAAGCAGUCUGUCCACUUCCAGGGGCCGGGCCACCCGCCCUUCCUUCCUGCUGAGGGCAGCGGCACCCCAGGUCCACCUGCAAGGACCCAGGUGGCCAGGUCAGAAGUACAACCAAGCCUAAUCUAGCAGGUUCUAUAAAUCAACAAGGUCAGGG